rnacentral:rRNA from 1 species
GACGUAGGGGGCGAGCGUUGUCCGGAUUCAUUGGGCGUAAAGCGCGCGUAGGCGGCCCGAUAAGUCGGAUGUGAAAUCUCACGGCUCAACCGCGGAACUGCAUUCGAUACUGUCGGGCUAGAGGCAGGUAGGGGAGAUCGGAAUUCCCGGUGUAGCGGUGAAAUGCGCAGAUAUCGGGAGGAACACCGGUGGCGAAGGCGGAUCUCUGGGCCUGUCCUGACGCUCAGGCGCGAAAGCUAGGGGAGCGAACAGG